rnacentral:rRNA from 1 species
UACGUAGGGGGCAAGCGUUGUCCGGAAUCAUUGGGCGUAAAGCGCGUGUAGGCGGUCCGGUAAGUCCGCUGUGAAAGUCGGGGGCUCAACCCUCGGAUGCCGGUGGAUACUGUCGGGCUUGAGUACGGAAGAGGCGAGUGGAAUUCCUGGUGUAGCGGUGAAAUGCGCAGAUAUCAGGAGGAACACCAAUUGCGAAGGCAGCUCGCUGGGACGUUACUGACGCUGAGGAGCGAAAGCGUGGGGAGCGAACAGG